UUCCUCUACCCUCCACUCUCUCUCCUCCUAACCUCCUAAAGAUGUUCCUCUACCCUCCACUCUCUCUCCCCCUAAAGAUGUUCCUCUACCCUCCACUCUCUCUCCUCCUAAAGAUGUUCCUCUACCCUCCACUCUCUCUCCUCCUAAAGAUGUUCCUCUACCCUCCACUCUCUCUCCCCCUAAAGAUGUUCCUCUACCCUCCACUCUCUCUCCUCCUAAAGAUGUUCCUCUACCCUCCACUCUCUCUCCCCCUAAAGAUGUUCCUCUACCCCCCACUCUCUCUCCUCCUAAAGAUGUUCCUCUACCCUCCACUCUCUCUCCCCCUAAAGAUGUUCCUCUACCCUCCACUCUCUCUCCUCCUAAAGAUGUUCCUCUACACUCCACUCUCUCUCCCCCUAAAGGUGUUCCUCUACCCUCCACUCUCUCUCCUCCUAAAGAUGUUCCUCUACCCUCCACUCUCUCCUCCUAAAGAUGUUCCUCUACCCUCCACUCUCUCUCCCCCUAAAGGUGUUCCUCUACCCUCCACUCUCUCUCCUCCUAAAGAUGUUCCUCUACCCUCCACUCUCUCCUCCUAAAGAUGUUCCUCUACCCUCCACUCUCUCUCCCCCUAAAGGUGUUCCUCUACCCUCCACUCUCUCUCCUCCUAAAGAUGUUCCUCUACCCUCCACUCUCUCCUCCUGAAGAUGUCCCUCUACCCUCCACUCUCUCUCCCCCUAAAGAUGUUCCUCUACCCUCCACUCUCUCUCCUCCUAAAGAUGUUCCUCUACCCUCCACUCUCUCUCCUCCUAAAGAUGUUCCUCUACACUCCACUCUCUCUCCUCCUAAAGAUGUUCCUCUACCCUCCACUCUCUCUCCCCCUAAAGAUGUUCCUCUACCCUCCACUCUCUCUCCUCCUAAAGAUGUUCCUCUACCCUCCACUCUCUCUCCUCCUAAAGAUGUUCCUCUACCCUCCACUCUCUCUCCUCCUAACCUCCUAAAGAUGUCCCUCUACCCUCCACUCUCUCUCCUGAAGAUGUUCCUCUACCCUCCACUCUCUCUCCUCCUGAAGAUGUUCCUCUACCCUCCACUCUCUCUCCUCCUAAAGGUGUUCCUCUACCCUCCACUCUCUCUCCCCCUAAAGAUGUUCCUCUACCCUCCACUCUCUCUCCUCCUAAAGAUGUUCCUCUACCCUCCACUCUCUCUCCUCCUAAAGGUGUUCCUCUACCCUCCACUCUCUCUCCUCCUAAAGAUGUUCCUCUACCCUCCACUCUCUCUCCUCCUAAAGAUGUUCCUCUACCCUCCACUCUCUCUCCUCCUAAAGAUGUUCCUCUACCCUCCACUCUCUCUCCCCCUAAAGAUGUUCCUCUACCCUCCACUCUCUCUCCUCCUAAAGAUGUUCCUCUACCCUCCACUCUCUCUUCUCCUAAAGGUGUUCCUCUACCCUCCACUCUCUCUCCUCCUAACCUCCUAAAGAUGUCCCUCUACCCUCCACUCUCUCUCCUGAAGAUGUUCCUCUACCCUCCACUCUCUCUCCUCCUGAAGAUGUUCCUCUACCCUCCACUCUCUCUCCCCCUAAAGAUGUUCCUCUACCCUCCACUCUCUCUCCUCCUAAAGGUGUUCCUCUACCCUCCACUCUCUCCUCCUAACCUCCUAAAGAUGUCCCUCUACCCUCCACUCUCUCUCCUCCUAAAGAUGUCCCUCUACCCUCCACUCUCUCUCCUCCUAAAGGUGUUCCUCUACCCUCCACUCUCUCUCCUCCUAAAGAUGUUCCUCUACACUCCACUCUCUCUCCCCCUAAAGGUGUUCCUCUACCCUCCACUCUCUCUCCUCCUAAAGAUGUUCCUCUACCCUCCACUCUCUCCUCCUAAAGAUGUUCCUCUACCCUCCACUCUCUCCUCCUAACCUCCUAAAGAUGUUCCUCUACCCUCCACUCUCUCUCCCCCUAAAGGUGUUCCUCUACCCUCCACUCUCUCUCCUCCUAAAGAUGUUCCUCUACCCUCCACUCUCUCCUCCUAAAGAUGUUCCUCUACCCUCCACUCUCUCCUCCUAACCUCCUAAAGAUGUUCCUCUACCCUCCACUCUCUCUCCCCCUAAAGGUGUUCCUCUACCCUCCACUCUCUCUCCUCCUAAAGAUGUUCCUCUACCCUCCACUCUCUCUCCUCCUAAAGGUGUUCCUCUACCCUCCACUCUCUCUCCUCCUAACCUCCUAAAGAUGUCCCUCUACCCUCCACUCUCUCUCCUGAAGAUGUUCCUCUACCCUCCACUCUCUCUCCUCCUAAAGAUGUUCCUCUACCCUCCACUCUCUCUCCUCCUAAAGAUGUUCCUCUACCCUCCACUCUCUCUCCUCCUAAAGAUGUUCCUCUACCCUCCACUCUCUCUCCCCCUAAAGAUGUUCCUCUACCCUCCACUCUCUCUCCUCCUAAAGAUGUUCCUCUACCCUCCACUCUCUCUCCUCCUAAAGGUGUUCCUCUACCCUCCACUCUCUGUCCUCCUAAAGAUGUUCCUCUACCCUCCACUCUCUCUCCUCCUAUAGGUGUCCCUCUACCCUCCACUCUCUCUCCUCCUGAAGAUGUUCCUCUACCCUCCACUCUCUCCUCCUAAAGAUGUUCCUCUACCCUCCACUCUCUCCUCCUAACCUCC